rnacentral:rRNA from 3 species
CGAAUCGCAUGGCCUUGCGCCGGCGAUGGUUCAUUCAAAUUUCUGCCCUAUCAACUUUCGAUGGUAGGAUAGUGGCCUACCAUGGUUUCUACGGGUAACGGGGAAUUAGGGUUCUAUUCCGGAGAGGGAGCCUGAGAAACGGCUACCACAUCCAAGGAAGGCAGCAGGCGCGCAAAUUACCCAAUCCCGACACGGGGAGGUAGUGACAAUAAAUACUGAUGGAGAGCUCUUUUGGGUUUUCUAGUUGGAAUGAGUACAAUUUAAAUUUCUUAACGAGGAACAAUUGGAGGGCAAGUCUGGUGCCAGCAGCCGCGGUAAUUCCAGCUCCAAUAGCGUAUAUUAAAGUUGUUGCAGUUAAAAAGCUCGUAGUUGAAACUCAGGCCUGGCUGGCCGGUCCGCCUCACCGCGAGCACUGGUUCGGCCGGGCUUUUUCCUUCUGGGGAGCCGCAUGCCCUUCACUGGGUGCGUUGGGGAACCAGGACUUUUACUUUGAAAAAAUUAGAGUGUUCAAAGCAGGCAUAUGCUCGGAUACAUUAGCAUGGAAUAAUAGAAUAGGACGUGUGGUUCUAUUUUGUUGGUUUCUAGGACCGCCGUAAUGAUUAAUAGGGAUAGUCGGGGGCAUCAGUAUUCAAUUGUCAGAGGUGAAAUUCUUGG